AACGAACGCUGGCGGCAGGCCUAACACAUGCAAGUCGAACGCCCGUUCGGGGGAGUGGCAGACGGGUGAGUAACACGUGGGAACGUGCCCUUCGGUUCGGAAUAACUCAUGGAAACGUGAGCUAAUACCGAAUACGCCCUAUGGGGGAAAGAUUUAUCGCCGAAGGAUCGGCCCGCGUCGGAUUAGCUUGUUGGUGAGGUAACGGCUCACCAAGGCGACGAUCCGUAGCUGGUCUGAGAGGAUGAUCAGCCACACUGGGACUGAGACACGGCCCAGACUCCUACGGGAGGCAGCAGUGAGGAAUAUUGGACAAUGGGCGAAAGCCUGAUCCAGCCAUGCCGCGUGAGUGAUGAAGGCCUUAGGGUUGUAAAGCUCUUUCACCGGUGACGAUAAUGACGGUAC
rnacentral:rRNA from 1 species